UACGGGGGGAGCAAGCGUUGUUCGGAUUUACUGGGCGUAAAGGGCGCGUAGGCGGCCUCUGCAAGUCGACUGUGAAAUCUCCGGGCUUAACCCGGAACGGUCAGCCGAUACUGCAGGGCUAGAGUGCAGAAGGGGCAACUGGAAUUCUCGGUGUAGCGGUGAAAUGCGUAGAUAUCGAGAGGAACACCUGCGGCGAAGGCGGGUUGCUGGGCUGACACUGACGCUGAGACGCGAAAGCGUGGGGAGCGAACAGG
rnacentral:rRNA from 1 species